UAGGGAAUCUUCGGCAAUGGGCGAAAGCCUGAUGGAGCGACGUCGCGUGAUGGACGAAGUGCUUCGGCACGUAAACAUCUUUUAUGUGGGAUGAAAUUAUUGACAGUACCACAUGAAUAAGGGGCUCCUAACUCUGUGCCAGCAGGAGCGGUAAUACAGAGGCCCCAAGCGUUAUCCGGAAUCACUGGGCGUAAAGGGUGUCGAGGCGGUUGUAUUAGUCGUUCGUAAAAUCUACGAGCUUAACUUGUAGGCGGCGAACGAAACGGUACGACUUGAGGUUUGGAGAGGUGCGUGGAACUCACGGUGUAGGGGUGAAAUCCGUUGAUAUCGUGGGGAACACCAAAGGCGAAGGCAGCGCACUGGCCAAAAUCUGACGCUCACACACGAAAGCUAGGGUAGCGAAGAGGAUUAGAUACCCGAGUAGUCCCUGAGCGGGCUGGCAAGGCGCAU
rnacentral:rRNA from 1 species